rnacentral:misc_RNA from 1 species
AGCAAAGCAUUUGAAAGCUGAUUUGAAUUUCUAUCGUUCUUUUCAAAACUUCAUUGAAGAUAGUUUAAUUGGGGGCGGUUUUGAACCCUGGCCUGAUAGUUCCUUCAAAAGGUGCAUUUGAUUCUCACGUACAACUUCGCCUCACCCCAUUGAAGUUUGCCAGUAAUUCAGCUAAAUAAGCGGACCUUACGAAACUGAACUCAGGCAAACUCCCUGUAUGAAAAUGACUGCUUGGAGCUGUUUGGAUGAAGAAUGUAAGGGAUAGAUCUUAUGCAAUUGCCUUGAGAAGUGAACUUCAGGUGUAUCAAAUCCGUACACCACAUACCUAAUCAAUCCUUUUUGGAACUGCCAUAUUUUUUGUUCACUGGCAACCAAAAGCGGCCAAAGAGGGCUAGCAUCAGUUGGAAUUAAGGGUUUGGAUCAAGGUUACACAAAGAACAUUACAUUUUCACAUUUGCCUUGCAUUUCCAUGGUUAACCCAGUGUUCUAACUGAUAUGAAAAAAUUGCCUAACGGAAAAAUUCAGAUUCCUUACUUCCUUCUUUGAUUGAAUGGAAUCGUAAAUCUCUGACACCGUUGUGAACAUGAUCUCCUUAAUGAGGAAAAAAUAUGUGCCGAAAUCCCUGAUCUGGAAUUCCUUUAUGGCUCCUUUUUAUUGAUUUUUCAAAGCCUUUACCAUUUUUUGCUUUGGAUCCCCCUCAAGUAUAUAGUUCGAAAAAUCAUUCACCUCCACAUUAAACUCUCUUUAUGCACGCAUUCAUGGCUGAUCCAUAGCUACAGGUACAAGUUGAGCACGGUGAAUCUCGCAAAAAAAUCGGAUUCAAAUUUUUUAGAGAUUAAUAUUUCGCAAUCGAUGGACAAUAAAAAAGUCUGUCGUUGCUUAUAUGUCAGCGUGCUUGAUUUGUUCCAUAUAACCAUUUUUUGGAAAAUUAUU